GAUGAACGCUGGCGGCGUGCCUAAUACAUGCAAGUCGAGCGAACGGACGAGAAGCUUGCUUCUCUGAUGUUAGCGGCGGACGGGUGAGUAACACGUGGAUAACCUACCUAUAAGACUGGGAUAACUUCGGGAAACCGGAGCUAAUACCGGAUAAUAUUUUGAACCGCAUGGUUCAAAAGUGAAAGACGGUCUUGCUGUCACUUAUAGAUGGAUCCGCGCUGCAUUAGCUAGUUGGUAAGGUAACGGCUUACCAAGGCAACGAUGCAUAGCCGACCUGAGAGGGUGAUCGGCCACACUGGAACUGAGACACGGUCCAGACUCCUACGGGAGGCAGCAGUAGGGAAUCUUCCGCAAUGGGCGAAAGCCUGACGGAGCAACGCCGCGUGAGUGAUGAAGGUCUUCGGAUCGUANAACUCUGUUAUUAGGGAAGAACAUAUGUGUAAGUAACUGUGCACAUCUUGACGGUACCUAAUCAGAAAGCCACGGCUAACUACGUGCCAGCAGCCGCGGUAAUACGUAGGUGGCAAGCGUUAUCCGGAAUAUUGGGCGUAAAGCGCGCGUAGCGGUUUUUUAAGUCUGAUGUGAAAGCCCACGGCUCAACCGUGGAGGGUCAUUGGAAACUGGAAAACUUGAGUGCAGAAGAGGAAAGUGGAAUUCCAUGUGUAGCGGUGAAAUGCGCAGAGAUAUGGAGGAACACCAGUGGCGAAGGCGACUUUCUGGUCUGUAACUGACGCUGAUGUGCGAAAGCGUGGGGAUCAAACAGGAUUAGAUACCCUGGUAGUCCACGCCGUAAACGAUGAGUGCUAAGUGUUAGGGGGUUUCCGCCCCUUAGUGCUGCAGCUAACGCAUUAAGCACUCCGCCUGGGGAGUACGACCGCAAGGUUGAAACUCAAAGGAAUUGACGGGGACCCGCACAAGCGGUGGAGCAUGUGGUUUAAUUCGAAGCAACGCGAAGAACCUUACCAAAUCUUGACAUCCCUUGACAACUCUAGAGAUAGAGCCUUCCCCUUCGGGGGACAAAGUGACAGGUGGUGCAUGGUUGUCGUCAGCUCGUGUCGUGAGAUGUUGGGUUAAGUCCCGCAACGAGCGCAACCCUUAAGCUUAGUUGCCAUCAUUAAGUUGGGCACUCUAAGUUGACUGCCGGUGACAAACCGGAGGAAGGUGGGGAUGACGUCAAAUCAUCAUGCCCCUUAUGAUUUGGGCUACACACGUGCUACAAUGGACAAUACAAAGGGCAGCGAAACCGCGAGGUCAAGCAAAUCCCAUAAAGUUGUUCUCAGUUCGGAUUGUAGUCUGCAACUCGACUACAUGAAGCUGGAAUCGCUAGUAAUCGUAGAUCAGCAUGCUACGGUGAAUACGUUCCCGGGUCU
rnacentral:rRNA from 1 species